rnacentral:lncRNA from 1 species
AUCACUGUGUAACUUUGGUCUAUGAGGGAUGGUAUGGACUUCACUUGAGCACGGAUAUUGGGACAAAUCCUACUUCUUCAUGUGAUCUCUUGUGGUCCAAUUGCUUUUAUUGUAUUUUGUUUCUCCUCUAAACUUGGGGGAACAGCCUUCAAUCUUUUAUUCUGAAAAGAGAAACAAAAAUCAAACUUUUUUAUUUUAUUUAUUUUUCUUGAAAUCCAAUUUUUCGUUUUAACACACCUUGGAAGAGUCCUCCCCUACCCCCCCCCCCCCCGGGGGGCGGGGGCACCACUGGUGGCUUUAGCCAUCUUUGCAAACACAUACCAAACUAUAAAAUAUUUAACCAGAAUACAAUAUCAAACAGCCUGAUUAAUUUAUGGGUUUCAUCAAUGGAUUAGGAGUAGUACCAGUGAACUUUCAUGGCAAAAUUUUGUAUACUCUAAAAUUUUAAGGGCUCAUUUCAUCUAAUAUAGCUUUUAUUAGAGGCACUUAUUAAGUGUAAUUUGAGACUUUUUAAAUCUAUUUAUUUCUUUAUUUAGUUCAUAAUAUAGGAUAAAGUAAUUAAAUAUAAUGUUUUAUUUUUUAAAAUGUAAAAGUUAUUCUCAAAGUGCCAAAUUUGAACUUUUGCUAAAACUGUUUUUAAUGCAAAAAAAUUCACUCAUGAUUUUAUGGGAUGAUAUUCAUCAAACACUUCAAAAGUGUUUUUAGCACUCAAAAAUACUUUUUCCGCCAAAGCACUGCAACUCCAAAUGAGUUCUAAGCAUACAAACCGUUAUUUAUUUUCACCACUCCUAGUUCUAGUUGUACUGGUAUAGGUUAAUCUUUAGCAUAUUAAGAAGGCUAAUUCUGCUGUGGAAGACGUUAUUUAUGUCAUGCUACUGUCAAAUUCAUCUCAAUUUCUUCCAUCGUUAUUCACACAACUAUGCCAUUAUUUGUUUGGAGGAUAGUUUGGAAUGGUGGUGAUAGAUAAUCAGAAAGAAGAACAGGAGUCAACAUAUUUGCUUUUGUGAUCCAUAUGCUGAAAUUAAAUCUAGAUAUGAAGAUUCUCCACUUGAGAAAAUUUUAACAAAAAAAUAACCAAUGAGUGAAUAAUGUGCAAAAAAAAGUUUAUCACAAAAUGUUUUUGUUAAUUUUGGAAUUUGAUGUUUAAGAUUGUAGAAAGUCCACGAGGGUCAAAUUGGUAUGUAUGUUUAUAGAAAGUUUAUCCAUUAUUUUGCAGUAAUGUUUGGUGUGUAUGUCAAAUUGGUCCUUAAUGUUUAAAUUAAAACAGAUUUGGUCCCCAAAGUUUCUGAUUUUAUGCAAAUUUAGGACAUCACAAUAACUAACUCGGGUUCUAUAUAGUUUAAGUAACCGAUCUAACAUGUUUUACUUUUCCAUCUAACAAACACUGAACAUGCAAAUUUAAUAGACAUUAUGGGAGAAAAAGUAGGGAUGAACUUGAACUAUAAACCAUGUAGGUAUUGUAGAAGAAAAACUAGAGAUAGGAGAAAUUUGAGUAGAGGAGUAAUCAAAAGAAGAAGUGGAUAAUGAACACGUGAAUUAAUUUCAACUAGUCUAAUAAGGAUUAAACUUCUACUAUUAUCAGUCUUAAUGUCACAAGAAGGAAAGCACAAAGUGCAAAAUAGAAGGCAAGGAUUUAGGACUGGACAUCACACACACAGUGGGCUCGACUCCUUCAAACAAUGGGCACGCAAGCAAUGAACUUUUCUUCUAAAUUUCCGUCGUGAUCUGUUUACUAGGCAAACAUUUUCAUGCUUAGAACAACUUUUGGAAUCAGAGUAAACGUUUGGUCAAUUUUAAUAGGUUUAAAUGUUGAAAUUUCGGAAUACAAAAACUACUUGAUUUUCCUUAUCGAAUAUUUCUACUGGCACUGAUGAACUCAUUGAAAUUUAGCAUUACUACUAUUACUUACCAGUACGUGGAAAGAAACUAGGAACUUGGAAUCUGGUUGGAAAUAAAAGGAACCACUUGAAGGCAAGGUCACAAUCUGUAAAAAAAUUACAAGGCAAACUGUCGGUGACUUGUACUCACAAUUUGUUAAAAAAUUGAAAGGCAAACUGUUGGUGAUUUGUACUUAGUCUUGCCGCUGGAAUGAAGAAAGAAAAGAGUUUAAUGGUUCAAGUCUUCUGAUCAUUCAGUUCCUAAGUUAGCGUCAGCUUUUGAUUCCAAGAAGUAGCAGGCAACAACGUUGCAGCCGUUGUUGCUGAUGAAGAGGAUGAGACGGGUCUUCCU